rnacentral:lncRNA from 10 species
UUGUUUGUGCAUCAGGAGGAACAAAGAGAACUCUGCCCAAGGGGACGGUCAUGCCCUGGCCCCAGCACUUUGCUGGGGGCCUGGUCUGUUGAGAGGGGAAUGUGGGGCCUGUGUGCCAGGUGUCUGCCGUCACUGCCAGCCCAUUGGUCUGGAGACACAGGACCAAUACUUGGAGAUGAACAUCAAAGGAUCAUCUGAGUCCUAAUCCAGCCUGCAACCUGACUUCAACUUCCUGACAGGAGCAAAAGAGAGAGACGCCCAGGACUUGUAGGAGCUGCAGGAGGACCCUCUCCCUUCCGCAUGAGGAGAGGCAUGAGGGUGUGAACUCUGACCAGCUAGAGUGAUUUUGUAACCACCAGAUAAGAAACUGCAGCUGCUGAGGGGCCACUCUGAGCAGUCCAGGAAUGAAGUCAACACCACAAAAGGCAGACGAGCGAGAUGGUGAGAAACCAGGUCCUGGGGUAUCCUUUGAGGCACUGGACCAAGUCUGACCUGAGGUCUGUCUGACUACUGGACUCUUCAG